rnacentral:rRNA from 1 species
GAUGAACGCUGGCGGCGUGCCUAAUACAUGCAAGUCGAGCGAACAGACGAGGAGCUUGCUCCUCUGACGUUAGCGGCGGACGGGCGAGUAACACGUGGAUAACCUACCUAUAAGACUGGGAUAACUUCGGGAAACCGGAGCUAAUACCGGAUAAUAUAUUGAACCGCAUGGUUCAAUAGUGAAAGACGGUUUUGCUGUCACUUAUAGAUGGAUCCGCGCCGCAUUAGCUAGUUGGUAAGGUAACGGCUUACCAAGGCAACGAUGCGUAGCCGACCUGAGAGGGUGAUCGGCCACACUGGAACUGAGACACGGUCCAGACUCCUACGGGAGGCAGCAGUAGGGAAUCUUCCGCAAUGGGCGAAAGCCUGACGGAGCAACGCUGCGUGAGUGAUGAAGGUCUUCGGAUCGUAAAACUCUGUUAUUAGGGAAGAACAAAUGUGUAAGUAACUAUGCACGUCUUGACGGUACCUAAUCAGAAAGCCACGGCUAACUACGUG